UCAAGGGGAUUCCAGCCUUCAGAAGGUU
rnacentral:piRNA from 1 species